GCGGCGUGCCUCAGACAUGCAAGUCGAACGAUUAAACUCUCCUUCGGGAGAGAUAUAGAGUGGCGCACGGGUGAGUAACACGUAGGUAAUUUACCUCUGGGUGGGGAAUAACCAUCGGAAACGAUGGCUAAUACCGCAUAAUGCAGCGGCACCGCAAGGUGACAGUUGUUAAAGCUUUAGUGCCUGGAGAGAAGCCUGCGGCAGAUUAGCUAGUUGGUAAGGUAAUGGCUUACCAAGGCUACGAUCUGUAUCCGGUCUUAGAGGACGGUCGGACACACUGACACUGAAUAACGGGUCAGACUCCUACGGGAGGCAGCAGUCGGGAAUUUUGGGCAAUGGGCGAAAGCCUGACCCAGCAACGCCGCGUGAAGGAUGAAGUAUCUCGGUAUGUAAACUUCGGAAGAAUGGAAAGAAUAAAUGACGGUACCAUUUUUAAGCCCCGGCUAACUCCGUGCCAGCAGCCGCGGUAAUACGGGGGGGGCAAGCGUUGUUCGGAUUUACUGGGCGUAAAGGGCGCGUAGGCGGCGUGACAAGUCACUUGUGAAAUCUCCGGGCUUAACUCGGAACUGCCAAGUGAUACUGUCGUGCUAGAGUGCAGAAGGGGCAAUCGGAAUUCUUGGUGUAGCGGUGAAAUGCGUAGAUAUCAAGAGGAACACCAGAGGCGAAGGCGGAUUGCUGGGCUGACACUGACGCUGAGGCGCGAAAGCUAGGGUAGCAAACGGGAUUAGAUACCCCGGUAGUCCUAGCCUUAAACGAUGAAUGUUUGGUGUCUGGAGUUUGAGUCUCCGGGUGCCGUCGCUAACGCUUUUAACAUUCCGCCUGGGGAGUACGCACGCAAGUGUGAAACUCAAAGGAAUUGACGGGGACCCGCACAAGCGGUGGA
rnacentral:rRNA from 1 species